AUUGAACGCUGGCGGCAUGCUUUACACAUGCAAGUCGAGCGGUAACAGGCCGCAAGGUGCUGACGAGUGGCGAACGGGUGAGUAAUGCAUCGGAACGUGCCCAGGCGUGGGGGAUAACGCAGCGAAAGCUGUGCUAAUACCGCAUACGAUCUAUGGAUGAAAGCGGGGGACCGUAAGGCCUCGCGCGAUUGGAGCGGCCGAUGUCAGAUUAGGUGGUUGGUGGGGUAAAGGCGCACCAAGCCAACGAUCUGUAGCUGGUCUGAGAGGACGACCAGCCACACUGGGACUGAGACACGGCCCAGACUCCUACGGGAGGCAGCAGUGGGGAAUUUGGACAAUGGGCGCAAGCCUGAUCCAGCAAUGCCGCGUGCAGGAAGAAGGCCUUCGGGUUGUAAACUGCUUUUGUACGGAACGAAAAGGCUCUGGUUAAUACCUGGGGCUCAUGACGGUACCGUAAGAAUAAGCACCGGCUAACUACGUGCCAGCAGCCGCGGUAACAC
rnacentral:rRNA from 1 species